UACGUAGGUGGCAAGCGUUGUCCGGAAUUAUUGGGCGUAAAGGGCGCGCAGGCGGCCUCUUAAGUCUGUUGUGAAAGCCCCAGGCUCAACUGGGGAGGGCCCUUGGAUACUGGGAGGCUUGAGUAUAGGAGAGAAGAGUGGAAUCCCACGUGUAGCGGUGAAAUGCGUAGAGAUGUGGAGGAACACCAGUGGCGAAGGCGACUCUUUGGCCUAUAAUUGACGCUGAGGCGCGAAAGCGUGGGGAGCAAACAGG
rnacentral:misc_RNA from 1 species